UGCGUAGGUGGCGAGGAAAGUUUGAUGUGAAAGCUCUGAGCUCAACUCAAGAAAUGGCAUUGAAUACUACCUUGCUUGAGGGUUGGGAGGGGGGACUGGAAUUCUCGGUGUAGCGGUGAAAUGCGUAGAUAUCGAGAGGAACACCAGUGGCGAAGGCGAGUCCCUGGACAACUCCUGACACUGAGGCACGAAAGCUAGGGAAGCAAACA
rnacentral:rRNA from 1 species